rnacentral:rRNA from 1 species
GGGUUGUGAGGUUAAGCGACUAAGCGUACACGGUGGAUGCCCUGGCAGUCAGAGGCGAUGAAGGACGUGCUAAUCUGCGAUAAGCGUCGGUAAGGUGAUAUGAACCGUUAUAACCGGCGAUUUCCGAAUGGGGAAACCCAGUGUGAUUCGUCACACUAUCAUUAACUGAAUCCAUAGGUUAAUGAGGCGAACCGGGGGAACUGAAACAUCUAAGUACCCCGAGGAAAAGAAAUCAACCGAGAUUCCCCCAGUAGCGGCGAGCGAACGGGGAGGAGCCCAGAGCCUGAAUCAGUGUGUGUGUUAGUGGAAGCGUCUGGAAAGGCGCGCGAUACAGGGUGACAGCCCCGUACACAAAAAUGCACAUGCUGUGAGCUCGAUGAGUAGGGCGGGACACGUGGUAUCCUGUCUGAAUAUGGGGGGACCAUCCUCCAAGGCUAAAUACUCCUGACUGACCGAUAGUGAACCAGUACCGUGAGGGAAAGGCGAAAAGAACCCCGGCGAGGGGAGUGAAAAAGAACCUGAAACCGUGUACGUACAAGCAGUGGGAGCACAGAGCAAUCUGUGUGACUGCGUACCUUUUGUAUAAUGGGUCAGCGACUUAUAUUCUGUAGCAAGGUUAACCGAAUAGGGGAGCCGAAGGGAAACCGAGUCUUAACUGGGCGUUAAGUUGCAGGGUAUAGACCCGAAACCCGGUGAUCUAGCCAUGGGCAGGUUGAAGGUUGGGUAACACUAACUGGAGGACCGAACCGACUAAUGUUGAAAAAUUAGCGGAUGACUUGUGGCUGGGGGUGAAAGGCCAAUCAAACCGGGAGAUAGCUGGUUCUCCCCGAAAGCUAUUUAGGUAGCGCCUCGUGAAUUCAUCUCCGGGGGUAGAGCACUGUUUCGGCAAGGGGGUCAUCCCGACUUACCAACCCGAUGCAAACUGCGAAUACCGGAGAAUGUUAUCACGGGAGACACACGGCGGGUGCUAACGUCCGUCGUGAAGAGGGAAACAACCCAGACCGCCAGCUAAGGUCCCAAAGUCAUGGUUAAGUGGGAAACGAUGUGGGAAGGCCCAGACAGCCAGGAUGUUGGCUUAGAAGCAGCCAUCAUUUAAAGAAAGCGUAAUAGCUCACUGGUCGAGUCGGCCUGCGCGGAAGAUGUAACGGGGCUAAACCAUGCACCGAAGCUGCGGCAGCGACGCUGAUGCGUUGUUGGGUAGGGGAGCGUUCUGUAAGCCUGUGAAGGUGUGCUGUGAGGCAUGCUGGAGGUAUCAGAAGUGCGAAUGCUGACAUAAGUAACGAUAAAGCGGGUGAAAAGCCCGCUCGCCGGAAGACCAAGGGUUCCUGUCCAACGUUAAUCGGGGCAGGGUGAGUCGACCCCUAAGGCGAGGCCGAAAGGCGUAGUCGAUGGGAAACAGGUUAAUAUUCCUGUACUUGGUGUUACUGCGAAGGGGGGACGGAGAAGGCUAUGUUGGCCGGGCGACGGUUGUCCCGGUUUAAGCGUGUAGGCUGGUUUUCCAGGCAAAUCCGGAAAACUAAGGCUGAGGCGUGAUGACGAGGCACUACGGUGCUGAAGCAACAAAUGCCCUGCUUCCAGGAAAAGCCUCUAAGCAUCAGGUAACAUCAAAUCGUACCCCAAACCGACACAGGUGGUCAGGUAGAGAAUACCAAGGCGCUUGAGAGAACUCGGGUGAAGGAACUAGGCAAAAUGGUGCCGUAACUUCGGGAGAAGGCACGCUGAUAUGUAGGUGAAGUCCCUCGCGGAUGGAGCUGAAAUCAGUCGAAGAUACCAGCUGGCUGCAACUGUUUAUUAAAAACACAGCACUGUGCAAACACGAAAGUGGACGUAUACGGUGUGACGCCUGCCCGGUGCCGGAAGGUUAAUUGAUGGGGUCAGCGCAAGCGAAGCUCUUGAUCGAAGCCCCGGUAAACGGCGGCCGUAACUAUAACGGUCCUAAGGUAGCGAAAUUCCUUGUCGGGUAAGUUCCGACCUGCACGAAUGGCGUAAUGAUGGCCAGGCUGUCUCCACCCGAGACUCAGUGAAAUUGAACUCGCUGUGAAGAUGCAGUGUACCCGCGGCAAGACGGAAAGACCCCGUGAACCUUUACUAUAGCUUGACACUGAACAUUGAGCCUUGAUGUGUAGGAUAGGUGGGAGGCUUUGAAGUGUGGACGCCAGUCUGCAUGGAGCCGACCUUGAAAUACCACCCUUUAAUGUUUGAUGUUCUAACGUUGACCCGUAAUCCGGGUUGCGGACAGUGUCUGGUGGGUAGUUUGACUGGGGCGGUCUCCUCCUAAAGAGUAACGGAGGAGCACGAAGGUUGGCUAAUCCUGGUCGGACAUCAGGAGGUUAGUGCAAUGGCAUAAGCCAGCUUGACUGCGAGCGUGACGGCGCGAGCAGGUGCGAAAGCAGGUCAUAGUGAUCCGGUGGUUCUGAAUGGAAGGGCCAUCGCUCAACGGAUAAAAGGUACUCCGGGGAUAACAGGCUGAUACCGCCCAAGAGUUCAUAUCGACGGCGGUGUUUGGCACCUCGAUGUCGGCUCAUCACAUCCUGGGGCUGAAGUAGGUCCCAAGGGUAUGGCUGUUCGCCAUUUAAAGUGGUACGCGAGCUGGGUUUAGAACGUCGUGAGACAGUUCGGUCCCUAUCUGCCGUGGGCGCUGGAGAACUGAGGGGGGCUGCUCCUAGUACGAGAGGACCGGAGUGGACGCAUCACUGGUGUUCGGGUUGUCAUGCCAAUGGCACUGCCCGGUAGCUAAAUGCGGAAGAGAUAAGUGCUGAAAGCAUCUAAGCACGAAACUUGCCCCGAGAUGAGUUCUCCCUGACUCCUUGAGAGUCCUGAAGGAACGUUGAAGACGACGACGUUGAUAGGCCGGAUGUGUAAGCGCAGCGAUGCGUUGAGCUAACCGGUACUAAUGAACCGUGAGGCUUAACCUUACAACGCCGA